GACGAACGCUGGCGGCGUGCUUAACACAUGCAAGUCGAACGGAAAGGCCCUGCUUUUGUGGGGUGCUCGAGUGGCGAAAGGGUGAGUAACACGUGAGUAACCUGCCCUUGACUUUGGGAUAACUUCAGGAAACUGGGGCUAAUACCGGAUAGGAGCUCCUGCUGCAUGGUGGGGGUUGGAAAGUUUCGGCGGUUGGGGAUGGACUCGCGGCUUAUCAGCUUGUUGGUGGGGUAGUUGCUUACCAAGGCUUUGACGGGUAGCCGGCCUGAGAGGGUGACCGGCCACAUUGGGACUGAGAUACGGCCCAGACGCCUACGGGAGGCAGCAGUGGGGAAUAUUGCACAAUGGGCGGAAGCCUGAUGCAGCAACGCCGCGUGCGGGAUGACGGCCUUCGGGUUGUAAACCGCUUUCGCCUGUGACGAAGCGUGAGUGACGGUAAUGGGUAAAGAAGCACCGGCUAACUACGUG
rnacentral:rRNA from 1 species